rnacentral:lncRNA from 1 species
GUGUGUCAUUGACUCUACAGAUUGUGAUGAUUUGUUAAAAAAUAAUUGCUAGGUUAUUAUCUUCCUAUCCGUCUUUGAUGUACUCAUACACACAUCUAUACAUGGUUGUCGUGCUCAUGUUAUUUGUCAACAUUCAGAAUUAUUUAUCAUAAGAUUUAGAUUAUCUCACUUCCUGUUUGUACAUGUAUGCCCAUAGUGCAGAAUACACCUAUGUGCAUGGAAGUUCUGUUUGUAGUGUCUUCAUCAUACCAAUAAUCAUAAUUCAAUGCCGGUCUUCAUUAGUCGAUUAUUCACAAUGAAAAACAAAGUUCAUGGUAGUGUUGCUAGCUUCUCAUUCAUCCAUCUUUUUAUCUAGCUAGCUAACUAACUUUUGCAUGCAUGGAUUGGAGGUUCAAUAUGAGCAGAUAGUUCAUAAAAAAACAUUAGUGGAGAGAACUUGCUGAUGUUGAACGAACUAGAUGAUGUAGUAACUUGUUGAUGCUGAACCUACCCUAUAUAUGUUGUUCGAUCAGUACUUGUGAUGUGAGCAAAGAAAUAGAACUAGCACUACAUGUCUAUUUCCUAUUUGAUUAGUUUAGUAUUUUCUGCACCAUGCUUUUGCUGUUGCACAAGAUUAUCUCGAAGUAUAAUCUCCAUGUGAAAAGAGUUUGAUGCCCAGAUCCUGUGGGGUAAUAAGCUUCUUUGCAUGAUGAUGCUGGUGCCUUUUGCAUUAGAUCUCAGUUUGUUGGCAUCUUCAUUAUCUACUAUUAGGAUAUGUUGAUGAUCUUCUGCAAACUAUGCUUCUCUUCACUGUUAAAUUAUGUUAUUUGAUUUUUUAACAUACUUCCAUGAAAGAACAUCAAACUGGAGUAGAAAGGACAUCCCGAAAGAUGCUAUCCUGCUUUAAAAAUCAAUUGUUUGCUGAUUAGCUGAACCCUACCCAGAUUCUGUAUCAGACAUGCAGUAUCUUUGGUUGAAGAUACCAACUACUGUGGAAGUAAUUCAUGAUUUACUAGUUUGUAUCAUUUUUUUCAUUUAAUUUUUCUCCUAUAUUUUUGAUUAGCCUAAUGGCCGAUGCUUUCCGUUUGAGGCACAACUUGACUCAAACCUGAAUAAUGGCCUUGUGUUAUCUACUCCCUUUGUAUUAUGCUUAGUUGCUUACUAUGUUCCGGUGAUACUUGAUGAAAUCUACUAACAUACUUUCAUAUGUAUUACUCCCUCUGUGAAUAGAACUAAUGUUCAUCUAGGCACUCUAAUUUUCAUCUCUUUUUGUUUCAUUCGGUUCUCAAGCACCAAAAGACGCCACAAUAAACAAGCCGGACGAAUAAAUUUCUCUCAGGUUCUCAAUGCUAGAUGACCAUGACACCAAAAGAUGGAUACAUUUGUUUGCAUUAUCUUUGUUGCAAAAUGAUGUUGUGGCUGUGAUGAACUGUUUCCUGCAAAAGAUUAUGUUAUGAUAAAUUAUGAAUGUUGGGAUUUGGGAUUCAAAAUCAUGCCGUUAUGUUGUUCCUGUGAUGAGAUAUUGAUAUCAAGUCAUGCAAAAUUAUGUUGUUGUUAGGAAACUGCUGCUAAAUUAUGAGAUAUUGAUUUCAAGUCAUUUUAGUCAGGUGACCUUUACAAUUAUGUAGCAAGGAUAUAAGGGGAGUUUGUUGCAUUGUAAAGAUUCGAUUUUUAUAUGUUUUACACCAUGUUAUGUCAUUAUGACAAACCCUUUCUACCAAAUAGAUAUUUUAAACAAAG